CACUACCAAGAAAGAACAGUACAAAAUGUGUGGUGUGAAGAUAAAGAGAAAUCAUUAACAUACCUCAUAUUCCUGGGACCUUCGCAACCUUUCUGGAGAUAUAGCACCACCAGGAAAGAAAGAAGAGCCCAUCUUCUUUCAAAGAGUUGGUGAACUGACACCGGAAGGUCCUGGAGGUCCAAAGUCCAAACUUCAGUUCACCCAAGUCAAAAUGAAGGUGUCAGCAGAGCCAUGCUCCCUGAAAGCUCUGGGGAAGAAUCCAACUGUCUUUUCCAGCCUCUAGAACUACAUUCUUCGCAUUCCUUGGCUCCAAGUUCCUUCCUUCGCCUUCAAAGCCAGCAGCAAAUGUUCCCAGUGUAACCAGGCUCCCUUGGGCAGCACCUGCUCUCACCCUGAACCUCCUGGAAACAGAACUCACCAUUUGAUGUGCCCCUCAAGACACAUCCACAAUGCACUCACAGAAGAGACAAUUUACUGAAGGUUUUGUUGGAGAGAAUGGAGAGAGGAUUGACCUCACACACCACAAGACUUCUUCAAUUCCUAAGGGAUUACCUGCUCCUAGUGCUUUGAAAUGCAUAGAAGAUGCUUGUCUAUCCUGAGGCCACGAGCUGGAAGUACCACAUGAGAAAUCUCAUAGAGUCUUGGCUCUGUGCA